GUGAGGAAUAUUGCGCAAUGGAGGCAACUCUGACGCAGCCAUGCCGCGUGCAGGAAGAAGGCGCUACGCGUUGUAAACUGCUUUUAACCGGGAAGAAACCCCAGGACGUGUCCUGGGUUGACGGUACCGGAGGAAUAAGCACCGGCUAACUUCGUGCCAGCAGCCGCGGUAAUACGAAGGGUGCAAGCGUUAUCCGGAUUCAUUGGGUUUAAAGGGUGCGUAGGCGGAGCGUUAAGUCAGUGGUGAAAUCCUGCAGCUUAACUGUAGAGUUGCCAUUGAUACUGGCGCUCUUGAGUGCGCUUGAAGUGGGCGGAAUGUGCCGUGUAGCGGUGAAAUGCUUAGAUAUGGCACAGAACACCAAUUGCGAAGGCAGCUCACUAAGGCGAUACUGACGCUGAGGCACGAAAGCGUGGGGAUCGAACAGGAUUAGAAACCCCAGUAGUCC
rnacentral:rRNA from 1 species